rnacentral:rRNA from 1 species
GAAUUCACUAGUGAUUGGCACAAGCGGUGGAGCAUGUGGAUUAAUUCGAUGCAACGCGAAGAACCUUACCUGGGUUUGACAUGCACAGGAUCCCGGCAGAGAUGUCGGUUCCCUUGUGGCCUGUGUGCAGGUGGUGCAUGGCUGUCGUCAGCUCGUGUCGUGAGAUGUUGGGUUAAGUCCCGCAACGAGCGCAACCCUUAUCCUAUGUUGCCAGCGCGUAAUGGCGGGGACUCGUGGGAGACUGCCGGGGUCAACUCGGAGGAAGGUGGGGAUGACGUCAAGUCAUCAUGCCCUUAUGUCCAGGGCUUCACACAUGCUACAAUGGCUGGUACAGUGGGUUGCGAUACCGUGAGGUGGAGCGAAUCCCUGAAAGCUGGUCUCAGUUCGGAUCGCAGUCUGCAAUUCGACUGCGUGAAGUCGGAGUCGCUAGUAAUCGCAGAUCAGCAACGCUGCGGUGAAUACGUUCCCGGGC